UACGGAGGAUGCAAGCGUUAUCCGGAUUUAUUAGGUUUAAAGGGUGCGUAGGCGGAAUAUUAAGUCAGUGGUGAAAUCCUGCAGCUUAACUGUAGAACUGCCAUUGAAACUGAUAUUCUUGAGUCUAGUUGAGGUGGGCGGAAUGUGUCAUGUAGCGGUGAAAUGCAUAGAUAUGACACAGAACACCGAUUGCGUAGGCAGCUCACUAAGCUAUAACUGACGCUGAGGCACGAAAGCGUGGGGAU
rnacentral:rRNA from 1 species